rnacentral:rRNA from 1 species
GAUGAACGCUGGCGGCGUGCCUAAUACAUGCAAGUCGAGCGAACGGACGAGAAGCUUGCUUUUCUGAUGUUAGCGGCGGACGGGUGAGUAACACGUGGAUAACCUACCUAUAAGACUGGGAUAACUUCGGGAAACCGGAGCUAAUACCGGAUAAUAUUUUGAACCGCAUGGUUCAAAAGUGAAAGACGGUCUUGCUGUCACUUAUAGAUGGAUCCGCGCUGCAUUAGCUAGUUGGUAAGGUAACGGCUUACCAAGGCAACGAUGCAUAGCCGACCUGAGAGGGUGAUCGGCCACACUGGAACUGAGACACGGUCCAGACUCCUACGGGAGGCAGCAGUAGGGAAUCUUCCGCAAUGGGCGAAAGCCUGACGGGGCAACGCCGCGUGAGUGAUGAAGGUCUUCGGAUCGUAAAACUCUGUUAUUAGGAAAGAACAUAUGUGUAAGUAACAGUGCACAUCUUGACGGUACCUAAUCAGAAAGCCACGGCUAACUACGU